rnacentral:tRNA from 1 species
UGGGAGGUCGGCUAACGGUAGGCCGAUAGGCUCUGAACCUAUUAAUCCUGGUCCGAAUCCAGGCCUCCCAG